GAGCUCACGCGCACGCCGCCGGGUGAUCGCAGACAGGCAGUAACUUUAAUUUUUCAAAUGAAAUCUUUGUUGGGACCAAAAUGAAUGGAUGUGAUGAGCAGACCCCUGAGGCACAGGAAGCAGCUAUGGCUUGAGAAGAGCACUCUGCUGCUUGUACACUGCUGGAGCAUCCUGUAUUGAGACAGAGAUAAAUGAGCCUGCUUUGCCCACAAGCCGCCUUCCACACCUGCGUUUGCUACGUCAAGCUACGGUCUCAUUGCUACUGUCUCAUGUCUCCAAAUAGGAAGGCAUCACACUAAAUGGAAUGGCAACAUUUACAAACAUGAGUUUUAUUAUGCAAUGAAUAAGAGACGAAAUGAAAUCCUCAAUAGAAUAAAAUGGUGAUGGCAAUAGAAGAGGAAAGCCAGGCCAAUGACCUGUGAGGAAUACAAUGAUACCACCCCAUGCAGCAAC